UAGCCCACGCCGUAAACGAUGUCAACUAGCCGUUGGGCCCAUUUAAGGGCUUAGUGGCGCAGCUAACGCGAUAAGUUGACCGCCUGGGGAGUACGCCGGCAACGGUAAAACUCAAAUGAAUUGACGGGGGCCCGCACAAGCGGUGGAGCAUGUGGUUUAAUUCGAUGCAACGCGAAAAACCUUACCUACCCUUGACAUCCUCAGAACUUGUUAGAGAUAACUUGGUGCCUUCGGGAACUGAGUGACAGGUGCUGCAUGGCUGUCGUCAGCUCGUGUCGUGAGAUGUUGGGUUAAGUCCCGGCAACGAGCGCAACCCUUGUCCCUAGUUGCCAGCACAUAAUGGUGGGAACUCUAGGGAGACUGCCGGUGACAAACCGGAGGAAGGUGGGGUGACGUCAAGUCAUCAUGCCCCUUAUGCCCAGGGCUGCAAACACGCUACAAUGGCCGGUACAGAGGGCUGCGAUCCCGCGAGGGUGAGCGAAUCCCACAAAGCCGGUCUCAGUUCGGAUUGG
rnacentral:rRNA from 1 species